UACAGAGGGCUCAAGCGUUGUUCGGAUUCAUUGGGCGUAAAGGGUGCGUAGGUGGCUCCGUAAGUCAGGUGUGAAAUCUCGGGGCUCAACCCCGAAACUGCACUUGAUACUGCGGUGCUCGAGUACUGGAGAGGAGAGUGGAAUUUACGGUGUAGCAGUGAAAUGCGUAGAUAUCGUAAGGAAGACCAGUGGCGAAGGCGAAUCUCUGGACAGUUACUGACACUGAGGCACGAAGGCCAGGGGAGCAAACGGG
rnacentral:rRNA from 1 species